GGAUCACAACCUCCGGUUGCUCUAGGUCAGCACUGAUGCUCACACCCUUAAAAUAUUUCCACCAUCAUUUAAAAUACAAGAUACUCCUGAUCAUCCAAAUAGCCUGGGGACCAUAGAUUUUAGGCAGAUAAUCAGGAGUUCAGAUAAUUGAGAGAGCAGGAGUGGUUCAGCCAUUCAGCAGUGGGGUGACCUGCUCUCUCAGCCAGGGGCUCCUCCUCCUCACCACUUUCUGCUCUUCUCCACUCACUCACUCCCAUGACAGCAGAGGUGCAGAGGGCUCCCUGCACUGCUGCAGAGCUGGUCUGUUGGUCUCUGCAGUGGGUGGCUUCUGAAGAAGUUGUUAUCCAGCAGAAAGCAGUGCCAGAUUCCUCAUGAUCAAAGGCGAGUUAAAGGAGAAGAGCAUAUGGAAAAAUAAGGCAGCCUAGCCCAGCUUUCAGCAGACAAGCCUUGAGCUGGAUCCCGCUGCAUCUCCAGCCAGGCCAGCAAAACUUGUACACAGAUCCUGCCAAGGAGCCAUACUGCCUCAGGGCAACAUUGACGGGUAUCAUUACAUAUAGCCUGUGAAGCAGUGAGGACGAAUCCUUCAAAGAGGAUGAAGAUGACUGAAACUGGAAAACAGACUUGGGUGAGCAUUCAGGGUGCAUUUCCAAAGAGAAGACUCUGACCAUGUAUGAGCGAAUGAGAAGCAGAAAGAGAGGGAGAGAUUUAAUUUUGUUCUGCAGAUUCAGAUCUAUGGAUUAU